rnacentral:rRNA from 1 species
UGCAAGUCGAGCGGCAGCGCGGGGGCAACCCUGGCGGCGAGCGGCGAACGGGUGGUAACAUGUCGGAACGUACCCUGACGUGGGGGAUAACACAUCGAAAGAUGUGCUAAUACCGCAUACGACCUGAGGGUGAAAGCGGGGGACCGAAAGGCCUCGCGCGACAGGAGCGGCCGAUAUCGGAUUAGCUAGUUGGUGGGGUAAAGGCUCACCAAGGCGACGAUCCGUAGCUGGUCUGAGAGGAUGACCAGCCGCACUGGAACUGAGACACGGUCCAGACUCCUACGGGAGGCAGCAGUGGGGAAUUUUGGACAAUGGGGGCAACCCUGAUCCAGCCAUUCCGCGUGAGUGAAGAAGGCCUUCGGGUUGUAAAGCUCUUUCGGCAGGAACGAAACGGCGGGCUCUAACAUAGUCUGUCAAUGACGGUACCUGAAGAAGAAGCACCGGCUAACUACGUGCCAGCAGCCGCGGUAAUACGUAGGGUGCGAGCGUUAAUCGGAAUUACUGGGCGUAAAGCGUGCGCAGGCGGUUUCGUAAGACAGAUGUGAAAUCCCCGGGCUUAACCUGGGAACUGCGUUUGUGACUGCGAGACUUGAGUGUGGCAGAGGGGGGUGGAAUUCCACGUGUAGCAGUGAAAUGCGUAGAGAUGUGGAGGAACACCGAUGGCGAAGGCAGCCCCUUGGGUUAACACUGACGCUCAUGCACGAAAGCGUGGGGAGCAAACAGGAUUAGAUACCCUGGUAGUCCACGCCCUAAACGAUGCGAACUAGGUGUUGGAGAAGGAGACUUCUUUAGUACCGUAGCUAACGCGUGAAGUUCGCCGCCUGGGGAGUACGGUCGCAAGAUUAAAACUCAAAGGAAUUGACGGGGACCCGCACAAGCGGUGGAUGAUGUGGAUUAAUUCGAUGCAACGCGA